GAGUACUCACUUUAGUGACGCAUACACUAAAAUUGGACCAACAGAGAUUAGCAUGGCCCAGGCACAAGUAUGACACAAAAAUGAAUGAAGCGUUUCAUAUUUUU